rnacentral:rRNA from 1 species
CGGAACGGGUGAGUAACACGUGAGUAACCUGCCCCCUUCUUCUGGAUAACCGCAUGAAAGUGUGGCUAAUACGGGAUAUUCUGCGCCUGCUGCAUGGUGGGUGUGGGAAAGAUAUUGUUUCGGUGGGGGAUGGGCUCGCGGCCUAUCAGCUUGUUGGUGGGGUGAUGGCCUACCAAGGCGGUGACGGGUAGUCGGCCUGAGGGGGUGGACGGUCACACUGGGACUGAGACACGGCCCAG